GAGAUCACAAUUUCACAGUUUUAAAUCCCUAUUCCCAAUGUACUCCACAUUUCCAUUCAUUAACUCUCUGCCCCCAAAACCCUCCUCCCUCUCUCUCCCCAUUCCAUCGCCUCCUCCCCCUCCUCCCGUCCGUCGAAGACCCCCUCCUCCGCAUCCAACGGCGUCUCGUUCGUGACCAUCCCAGCUCCGGACCCCGACCCCAGGUCCGGACCCGACCCCAGCGAACAGACCCGACCCCGACCCUGACCCCAGCUCCGGUUCAGAUCCCGACCCCAGCGAACACCCCGACGGCAGCGAACACCCUGACCCCAGCUCUGGUUCCGACCCCGACCAGCGAGGGCGCCCAAGGCCGUGGACGAGGAUUUGUACAAAAUCCCCCUGAGCUCCUCUGCCAAAAGCCCAAGAGGAAGAGGAUGCUGAGGAAAUUGUUGUCAGGGUGCCUGGGCCUCAACUGUGUUGCUUGAGAGCUGAGCUUGGAGAGGAACAGGGGUGGAUAAGAGAGGAUGGCAGCGUUACAUUAUAUUAAAGAUCCUAGCUUUUGCUGCUCUGCACUGAACUCACCAUGGAUUUUUCUUUUUUUUUCUUGUUUUUGCGAUUUUUUUUAAUCAGUGUGAUGGGAUAUAUUGUAAGACACUGUCUUUUUGGUAAGCAAAUAUAUUGUAAGAAAUAGCGGGGGGAAUGUUUGUUAAUGGUGACCUGUUAUAGCUUCUGCUGUGCAUUUUUGCUUGAAAUAUAUAAUUGAGGAUUAUUAGUGAA